CAGUCGCCGCGGGAAUACGUAGGGUGCAAGCGUUAAUCGGAAUUACUGGGCGUAAAGCGUGCGCAGGCGGUUAUAUAAGACAGAUGUGAAAUCCCCGGGCUCAACCUGGGAACUGCAUUUGUGACUGUAUAGCUAGAGUACGGCAGAGUGGGAUGGAAUUCCGCGUGUAGCAGUGAAAUGCGUAGAUAUGCGGAGGAACACCGAUGGCGAAGGCAAUCCCCUGGGCCUGUACUGACGCUCAUGCACGAAAGCGUGGGGAGCAAACAGGAUUAGAUACCCGUGUAGUCCCUGUCUCUUAUAC
rnacentral:rRNA from 1 species